CUCGGGUGACGAGCGGCGGACGGGUGAGUAAUGUCUGGGAAACUGCCUGAUGGAGGGGGAUAACUACUGGAAACGGUAGCUAAUACCGCAUAACGUCGCAAGACCAAAGUGGGGGACCUUCGGGCCUCAUGCCAUCAGAUGUGCCCAGAUGGGAUUAGCUAGUAGGUGGGGUAACGGCUCACCUAGGCGACGAUCCCUAGCUGGUCUGAGAGGAUGACCAGCCACACUGGAACUGAGACACGGUCCAGACUCCUACGGGAGGCAGCAGUGGGGAAUAUUGCACAAUGGGCGCAAGCCUGAUGCAGCCAUGCCGCGUGUGUGAAGAAGGCCUUCGGGUUGUAAAGCACUUUCAGCGGGGAGGAAGGCGUUAAGGUUAAUAACCUUGGCGAUUGACGUUACCCGCAGAAGAAGCACCGGCUAACUCCGUGCCAGCAGCCGCGGUAAUACGGAGGGUGCAAGCGUUAAUCGGAAUUACUGGGCGUAAAGCGCACGCAGGCGGUCUGUCAAGUCGGAUGUGAAAUCCCCGGGCUCAACCUGGGAACUGCAUUCGAAACUGGCAGGCUAGAGUCUUGUAGAGGGGGGUAGAAUUCCAGGUGUAGCGGUGAAAUGCGUAGAGAUCUGGAGGAAUACCGGUGGCGAAGGCGGCCCCCUGGACAAAGACUGACGCUCAGGUGCGAAAGCGUGGGGAGCAAACAGGAUUAGAUACCCUGGUAGUCCACGCCGUAAACGAUGUCGAUUUGGAGGUUGUGCCCUUGAGGCGUGGCUUCCGGAGCUAACGCGUUAAAUCGACCGCCUGGGGAGUACGGCCGCAAGGUUAAAACUCAAAUGAAUUGACGGGGGCCCGCACAAGCGGUGGAGCAUGUGGUUUAAUUCUAUGCAACGCGAAGAACCUUACCUGGUCUUGACAUCCACAGA
rnacentral:rRNA from 1 species